rnacentral:rRNA from 1 species
CUCGUAGGCGGUUCGUCGCGUCCGGUGUGAAAGUCCAUCGCUUAACGGUGGAUCUGCGCCGGGUACGGGCGGGCUGGAGUGCGGUAGGGGAGACUGGAAUUCCCGGUGUAACGGUGGAAUGUGUAGAUAUCGGGAAGAACACCAAUGGCGAAGGCAGGUCUCUGGGCCGUUACUGACGCUGAGGAGCGAAAGCGUGGGGAGCAAACA